CACGCCGUAAACGAUGUCGAUUUGGAGGCUGUGUCCUUGAGACGUGGCUUCCGGAGCUAACGCGUUAAAUCGACCGCCUGGGGAGUACGGCCGCAAGGUUAAAACUCAAAUGAAUUGACGGGGGCCCGCACAAGCGGUGGAGCAUGUGGUUUAAUUCGAUGCAACGCGAAAAACCUUACCCACCUUUGACAUGGUCGGAACCCUUUAGAGAUAGAGGGGUGCUCGAAAGAGAGCCGAUACACAGGUGC
rnacentral:rRNA from 1 species